AUGAACGCUGGCGGCGUGCCUAAUACAUGCAAGUCGAGCGCACGGACGAGAAGCUUGCUUCUCUGAUGUUAGCGGCGGACGGGUGAGUAACACGUGGAUAACCUACCUAUAAGACUGGGAUAACUUCGGGAAACCGGAGCUAAUACCGGAUAAUAUUUUGAACCGCAUGGUUCAAAAGUGAAAGACGGUCUUGCUGUCACUUAUAGAUGGAUCCGCGCUGCAUUAGCUAGUUGGUAAGGUAACGGCUUACCAAGGCAACGAUGCAUAGCCGACCUGAGAGGGUGAUCGGCCACACUGGAACUGAGACACGGCCCAGACUCCUACGGGAGGCAGCAGUAGGGAAUCUUCCGCAAUGGGCGAAAGUCUGACGGAGCAACGCCGCGUGAGUGAUGAAGGUCUUCGGAUCGUAAAACUCUGUUAUUAGGGAAGAACAUAUGUGUAAGUAACUGUGCACAUCUUGACGGUACCUAAUCAGAAAGCCACGGCUAACUACGUG
rnacentral:rRNA from 1 species